UACGUAGGGUGCGAGCGUUAAUCGGAAUUACUGGGCGUAAAGCGCGCGUAGGUGGUUCAGCAAGUUGGAUGUGAAAGCCCCGGGCGUCAACCUGGGAACGUGCGUUUGGUAACUACAAGACUAGAGUGUGUCAGAGGGGGGUGGAAUUCCGCGUGUAGCAGUGAAAUGCGUAGAGAUGCGGAGGAACACCGAUGGCGAAGGCAGCCCCCUGGGAUAACACUGACGCUCAUGCACGAAAGCGUGGGGAGCAAACAGGAUUAGAUACCCUAGUAGU
rnacentral:rRNA from 1 species